rnacentral:rRNA from 1 species
AUGGAGAUGAAACCCAAAAGAUUUUCGUUGGGGCGUAACCCUCUCAGCGACGCGCCACAUCGGAACCCGGGUGUGGUGGAAAAUGGGCACGGGCCGGACCGUCACCCCCCAAGUGGCGCGCCGUAUCUUGAUCCGGAUACGGUGGCAAGUGAGCGAGGAUCGGGUCGUCGCAUCCUUAGUGGCACGCUACAUCGGCGCCCGGAUGUAGUGGAAAAUGAGCAAGGGUCUUCGCAUUUGACUCGACGAGUGCGAAGGGUAAGGAAGCUAGCCGAGCCUAGGAGGAUUCGCUUAGGUAGCUGGAACGUAGGGCCUCUGACAGGGAAGCUUCGGGAGCUAGUUGAUGGAGCGGUGAGGAGAGGGGUUGAUAUCCUUUGCGUCCAAGAAACCAAAUGGAGAGGACAGAAGGCGAAGGAGGUGGACGACACCGGCUUCAAGCUGUGGUACACGAGGACGGCUGCAAACAGAAAUGGCGUAGGCAUCUUGAUCAACAAGAGCCUCAAGUAUGGAGUGGUAGACGUCAAGAGACGUGGGGAC